ensembl:lncRNA
CACGAAAUGGAUUUAAAUGUAUGUUAAAAGAAUUAAAGUAACGUUUUUAAUAAAUAUACACCAUUUCUUAAUUGGUGAAAACGUUCUACCUGUUUAAACAUUAGACCAAUGUUUUUCUACUUUAAAAAGAGGUUAGUCUAUACGAUUUUUUUCGUCUAAACAAAAGUUCUUGUUGGAAAAAAAAAAAGUGUUGUUUGUUUUUAUUUUAAUUAACCACUCACACUAAUCUAAGUCUAGUCUAAAUCUAGACUAAAUCUUUUAAUAGGUCUUUUAUUUUGUCAAUAUUAACUUCUGUAAUACUUGUGACGUGUUGUCUAGCAAAUAAAACAGACGUAUGUUAUUGGUGGUUCCAAGAUGGCUCCGAGCAUGGCGGCCGUGUUGCGAGCUCCGAGUAAACUUUGCAGUUUUUCGUUUGUUUUAUUUGUUUUUUUUGUUGUUCUACAUGUUGGAUGUUGUUUGUAUAACUGUCUACGACAGACACACGCUUCUAAACAUUGGUUCCUACGUCGCGGAAUGCAAACCGGAAUUUGAGUUCUUGAAUGCUGGCGCUUUGUUUACAGACACUGCAUCAGAGCCCUUUGUCUGGGCUGCACGGGCGCGACCGAGGAAACGCCACCGGAAAAGAGGGAAGAGAGCUUUGUCAGACUCAGACGUCAUCCCCUCCGACCUCCUCUCCCAUCCAUUUUCCUGGCUAACGUUCAGUCACUGGACAACAAACUUUGCGAACUGCGGGCACGUAUCUCAUACCAACAAGAAACAAGUGACUGCUGCAUUAUUUGGCUCACAGAAACCUGGAUGUCUGCAGUGGUUCCAGACUAGAGGCUGACAUUUUUUCGGGAAUCCCACGGGUCACGGGAUUCCCGUGGGAUUCCUGCAGGAUGGGAGUCAUCUUUGCUAUUAAUCACGGGAUUUGGACGGUACAGGAUAAAUGGUUAACGGGAGCAGACGGGAGCUUGAAUCAACCAAUAGCAAAGACGACAAAAAAAGAAAAAAGUAAAUGCACCAUUUUGUAGUUUCCUUUUAAUACGCCUACAAUGUAAUGCAAUUAAAAAAUAACUACACGACCCAGCCGUCCCAGAAGCCAUCAGUGCUUUUUGUCAUGGCUUCCCGCCGGAAUUCAAAGAGCAGUGAUGGAGGGAGCUAACAGCCGCGGAGAAGUCGAUGUGGCAAAAAAUGAUUUACAGCGCAAAGUCAGAAGUAAUGACAUGUCUAUUAAGUUCACAGAACUGGUCGGAAAGUCUGAAAUAUUAAGUUUAUGAGAGUAGAAUGUGACGGUGAUAGCACGAUGUACGAAACAGGGGCUCAGCAGCUGGUCUAAAACAGGAUGGAGAGCAGAUUAAAUCAAAUUCUAUGUAUUAACUAAACACUAAUUGAAGAAAAAAAUUUAUGGGAGCGGUACAGGAGCGGGAGUCAGUUUAAACAGGAGCGGGAUGGGAGUGGGAGUCAAUUUACCAGGAGCGGGAUGGGAUGGGAUUAUUUUUUAAACUUUGGUCUGGGAGUGGGACGGGACAAGAUUUCUUUCUAUGGGAGUGGGACGGGACAGGAGUGAAAAUCCACUUCCGUGUCAUCCUCUAUUCCAGACUCAGCCAUCGAGCUUACGGGGUUCUCCGUGCACCGCUCGGACAGAACGAAAGAGCUCACAGGGAAAAGCAGAGGUGGGGGCGUUUGUUUCUUUAUCAACAACUCGUGGUGUGAUGAAAGGAACCUACACUCUAUUAAAUCCUUCUGCUCCCCUGAUCUGGAUUUUCAUAUGCUUCUGUGUCGACCAUUCUGGCUACCGAGGGAAUUCACAGCGGUCAUAAUCACAGCUGUUUACAUUCCCCCUCAAGCCAACACAGACCAGGCACUCAAGGAACUGUAUGGGAAUAUAAGUGAGCAGGAAACCGCAUACCCAGAUGCAGCGUUUAUUGUUAUGGGGGACUUUAACAAAGCCAACUUCAGAACAAUAGCUCCGAAAUAUUUUCAACACAUCACCAUCAACACGCGUGGUGAUCGUGCACUGGACCACUGCUACUCUCCUUUCCGGGACGCCUACAAAUCUCUCCCACGCCCACCUUUCGGCAAAUCGGAUCACUCUUCCAUUCUGCUGCUGCCUGCUUAUAGGCAGAAACUGAAACGGGAAGCACCCGCCCUCAGGACAGUUCAAUGCUGGUCGGACCGAUCAGAGGCUAUACUACAGGACUGUUUUGAUCACGUGGACUGGGACAUGUUCCGGGCAGCGUCUGAUGACGACAUAGAGGCGUACUCAGAAACUGCAACAUGUUUCAUCAGGAAGUGUGUAGAAGAUGUAGUGCCGACAAAAACAAUCCACAUCUACCCCAACCAAAAACCGUGGAUUAAUAGCGAUGUUCGAGCAGCCUUGUCAGCGCAGACAUCCGCUUUUAAAUCCGGAAACGCUGAUGAUCGCAAACAAGCCAGUUACGAUCUCAGGAAAUCAAUCAAAGCCGCAAAAAGACAAUACAAAAACAAAGUUGAAGAACAAUUUAACACCAACGAUGCAAGAGGCAUGUGGCAGGGAAUCAAUAACAUCACAGACUUUAAAGGGAAUAAACCAGCUACUGUGAACAUUACUGUGAACUCUCUACCGGAUGAGCUUAAUAACUUUUAUGCUCGUUUCGAGGCUCACAACACCGCCCACACAGAGAGCGCUCCCGCAGCUGCUGCAGAAGAUGUGAGUGCACUCUCCGUCUCUGUCGCGGAUGUAACCCGAUCCUUCCGACGGGUGAAUAUCCGCAAGGCUGCGGGUCCUGAUGGCAUCCCAGGCCGUGUGCUCCGAGCAUGCGCAUUCCAACUAGCCGGUUUUUACAAACAUUUUCAACCUCUCUCUCUGUCUGUCUGUGGUUCCCUCGUGCUACAAAAAAUCCAUCAUUGUGCCCAUACCAAAGAAAAAUAAAAUCACAUGCUUGAAUGACUGGAGGCCCGUUGCUCUCACACCCAUCUUCAGUAAGUGUUUUGAGAGACUCGUCAGAGACUACAUCUGCUCUGUGCUGGCUGCCUCGUUGGAUCCGCUACAAUUUGCAUAUCGUAGCAACCGUUCUACAGACGAUGCUAUUGCUUUCACCCUACACACUGCUCUCUCCCACCUGGAAAAUAAGAACACCUAUGUGAGAAUGCUGUUUGUGGACUACAGCUCAGCAUUUAACACCAUAGUGCCUGCCACACUUGUUGCGAAGCUCCAGACUCUGGGACUAAACAGAUCUCUGUGCAGCUGGAUCCAGGACUUCUUAACAGGCAAGAAGCCAGGUGGUCAGAAUGGGCAACAACACUUCAUCCCCGCUGACCCUUAACACUGAUGCUCCUCAGGGCUGUGUCCUCAGCCCACUCCUGUACUCCCUGUACACACAUGACUGUACAGCCACACACAGCUCCAACGUCAUCAUCAAAUUCACUGAUGACCCAACGGUGAUAGGCCUGAUCACCGACAAUGAUGAGAUGGCCAACAGAGAGGAGGUGAGCACCCUGACUAAAUGGUGUCAGGAGAACCAUCUCUCACUCAACAUCGAUAAGACCAAGGAGCUGGUGGUGGAUUUCAGGAGACAGAGCAGAGAACACAAACCCAUCACCAUCGACAAGACACCUGUGGAGCUGGUAAGCAGCUUCAAGUUCCUCAGCGUUAACAUCAGUGAAGAUCUCACCUGGUCUACACACACUGAUGCAGUGCUGAAGAAGGCACAUCAACGCCUCUUCUUCCUGAGACGGCUGAGGAAGUUUGUAAUGAGCCCCAGCAUCCUCAAAUCAUUCUACACUUGCACUAUAGAGAGCAUCCUGACUGGCUGCAUCACUGCCUGGUUUAGAAACAGCACCGCUGGCAACCGCAAAGCUCUGAAAAGGGUCGUGCGAACUGCCAGCCACAUUGUUGGAGGUGAGCUUCCCUCCCUCCAGGACAUCUACACCAGGCGGUGUAUAAGGAAAUCCCGGAGAAUCAUCAGUGACUCCAGCCAUCCGUCCCACAGACUGCUCUCUCUGCUGCCCUCAGGAAGACGUCUCAGCAGUAUCCGAUCCCACACUAGCCGACUGAGGGAUAGCUUUUUCCCUCAGGCUAUCAGACUUAUGAACAGUCUGAACUAAUACACCCUACAGCAUACUCCACAAUAUGGUAUGCCACACACUGCACUUUAACUUUAACAGUUCAACACCAAACUAUUUAAUACAAUAAUCUACCUGCUACCACUGGAUUCCAUCCAAUGCACAUCCAUAACAUUUCUGUAUCCAGCCCACGUACACUCUGUUGCACCUUAGCAUAUUUUCAUGCGUAUAUAUGUCUACAUAAUGUAGAAUGUGUACAUUCUGUGUAUAGUGUAUAAUGUGUAGUGCUAACUGUAUGUAUGUACAUAUUGCGUAUAAUGUGUAGUGCUAACUGUAAGUAUGUCCAAUAGUACACUGUGUGUACUGACUAUAUGUAUGUGCAUAUUGCAUAUUUUCACCUGUUGAAGUCUGUAUGGUUAUAUGUUAACAGUUUCUGCAAUUUCUGGUGCACACUCCCAAGAAUUUCACUCACCAAGGCACAUGUGCUGUGGUGAUGUGACAAUAAAAGUGACUUGACUUGACUUGAAAAGCCUGAGGUUUUACAACAUGGUACGAAAUGAAAAUAUUUUGUCUCACGUAUUGCAUCGAAACGAGAACAGCACAGGAUGUCUGCAUUGUGUGAUUACUGGUGUGACCAUAUCAGUGUACCGUACUUCAAAAGACUUGGGGGGGGGGGGUUCUGGCAAACUUAUGAGUUUUGGGGGUUCUGGCACUGUAAAUGGUGGUCCUGCGGAUCAGCUAAAGCUCAGCAUUUUGCGUUCACUGAUCAAAGGAUGACAAUUUAAACUAUUUAUGAUGUAGACCUGUGAGCAUGAGGUUAGCCAAAAGUGCAAUGACGGUCAAAAGCAUGUGAGACCUAUGAUUGUUUUUUAACAAGACAGACUGUGGUAUAGGAAAUUUUGCAUAAUUUUAGUUAAUUAAUUUUGUUUAUUUCAGUUACAUUUAUUAUUUUAUUCACACUUUAUUUUUUCAAGUCUCAACACAAACAUAGGCUGCAAAUACAAACAAACACACACACACACACACACACACAUAUACGUAAAUAUACAAAAAGCAUAAACAUACACGUAAAUAAACACAAACAUACAUAUGCAAACACGUGUACAAACAAACAUACAGAAUGUGACUUACAAACAAUCGCACACACACACACACUCUUAUGAGACAUACCUAAUACAAACAGAUAUCAUAGCUUUUGAUUUUGGAGUUGUUAAAAAUCCAUGCGUGCAAACAGUCGAAGCUAAGGCUAUAUCUACCCCUUUACGCACCAGGAUAUGCGAUAAAGGCCAGACGGUCUCUGGCGUAGAUCACGACACCCUCAGUUAAGUUGUAAAAGAAAAAAAAAAAAAUCUAAAAGAUGUCGCAUCUGUUGUUGCAUACGCAUAAAUCAAUGUUAUACAUGUAUUAAAGAUUUAUGUUAUUAGGGUACCCUCUGCUGAUGGUUAUCGGAUUAUACGUGGUAUUCUCAAGAGCCGCCCACACACCAAAUCCCGUUAAAAACCAAGAGUUUUGUUACGCUCAUUACCUGUAAAAUCUAUCUACAAGUCGUGCUACGCUGCUAUCUCAACAAUACACGAAACAAUGGCUGACAAUUACCAGGGUAAGUGUUUUUCAUCUGAGUUAUUUAAAUAUAUUUUAACGUGAAUAUUUUUUUAAUGUCUUGUGGUUAUAAUCUCUAGGUGGUUUUGAGAAUCAGGAUUUCGACGAUGGUUUGGAACAGAUCCUUGAAGAGCUAUGCGAGUAUUUCCCCCUUUAUUCUAUUAACUAUUCAAUGUCUAAUAAUAGCACCAAUAACUUUGUUGUCAUUUUACCCAGUCGAUGAGGCGGAGCUAUUUGCUUGUGAUGAUGACGGCGCUGUUAAUAACGGUGAGCACGUUGAUUCCGACAGUCACGUGGUAAUGUUACCUACAGAGGAUGCUUUACAAGAGGUUGUGGUUAGCGCUGAAUCACAUCAUGAUCUAAACAACGUCACAAAUCCCGCCACCGCACCCGUUCCAUCUUCAGGGGAAUGGUCUCACACGCUCCCAGACUGCUCGAGUGUUCACACCCCAGGUGCUUCCAGGCCGCGUCACUCGCAGGGUCAGGGGGUAAAACGUUUGAGGCUACCGGAGCACAAAACGGAUGAUGUUCCGACCACCAGCCGUUUAAGGACUUAGGAGAAUAACCAACAAGGGUACGACGAAGGUGGCCUAACAGCGUGGACCGAUUCACAGAUACAUGCGUGGGAUCAAGUGUCCUUCAGUGCUUCGGAACAGGAGGAGGAGGAGGAAUUACCUCACGAAAUUCCUCAGGAAUUGUUCCGUGAGCGUGAUUUAAACAGGAGGCUUGAUUAUGAUAUGCUGCGCCGUGUUAACCAGAACUUUGAGACACUUUUCGACUUGAAUGGACAAACGUUAUCCUAUCGGGAAGCAGAAGACAUCGUUGCUAGCGCACAAAGUGAUGUGGUAUCGAUUUUGAGAAACAUCAUUGCCUGUCAACAGCAGCACAACGAAUCCUUACGUCACACAGCCGAAUUUUGGAGAAGUUGCCACGAGCAGCUGUAUGGUGAAUUUCGGCAGUUUCAACAGAGCAUGAGCGGUGUACCGGCAGAAAUCCAUCAAGUACAAGUCGAGCAAAAUCUUUCUGUUAACAGCCUUACGCUGAUCACAGAACGUUUAAAUCUCAUUCAAAGAAUGUUGACAGAUUUGUUUAAUCAUAUGAUGAGAGGUUGUCCCUGAUAUGUAUUGAAUUGUUGCUUGUUUUUGUUUUGUUAUUGACAUCGAUUCGUUAUUAUCAUUGGGUAUUUCUUACAUUUAUUAUUGUUUGUUAUUGACAACGAAUCAUUAUUAUCAUUAGUUAUUUCUUACAUUUAUUAUUGUUUGUUAUUGACAACAAAUCAUUAUUAUCAUUAGUUAGUUCUUUUAUUAAUAUUGUUUGUUCUUCCUUACUUUUAUUAAUAUUGUUUGUUAUUCCUUACAUUAUUGUAUGUUAUUGUCCCCGCCAUUUAGUGUUGUUUUACUUGCGGAGAAACGGUGGUUUGGAAUUUAUAUAUGUUUCUGUUUUGUUAUAUCUGGUUAUGACGCAUUGUGAAUUGGCGUUGGUGUUUUCAGGAGUGUACACGCUUGCCUUUAAACUUGAAAAAGGUGUAUUUCUGAUUUAAAAAAAAAAAUAAAAAAAAAUAAUAAUUCAAAAUGAGCAGUAAAAGAUGUCACGAUAAUUUACACCCCCACACUUCAGAAGAUGAUCAGAGGUCAUCAAGACCCAGAUAUGAUUUUCAAAACAAUAGCGAACAGUUACGUGAAAUUAUUAACAAUCAUUUACAGAUGUUACCGUCUGAUCCGCUUAACAUGGUGGAUAGAUUACAUGAGCUUAUAGAUGAACAACACGAAUGGUUGGGUGCUGAUAUACAUGGCGAUGAACAGGUCGGCGCAGGGCCGUCUAAUAAUGAAUCCUCAGGUUAUGAUCCCUCAGCUCCAGAUAUGGGUCUCAGUCAGGAUUGCAUAGCUAGACUAGUGAGAGAAGGAGGUCGUGUGGGUGAUUUUACGAUUGUCCCAAAACCCAGAUUUAAUGGUUUAGAAAUUCGCAGAACUUAAAAUUUUCGUGAAAUAGUCACAGAUGACUAUGCUGCCUAUAAUAUCUUUUUGCAGGAUAUUUUGAAUGAGAUUGUAGCCGUUUCCAGAUUAUUAGCUGGUGAGGGUUUUUUUUAACAUAUCUCUGCGAGGUGCAAGUCUCCCCACAGAUAUUAAUGCCGUUCUAACGCCUGAUAACAAUCACGACAUUAAUCUAUUUGUUGACCAAAUCGAACGGGCUGUUCAAAGCAAUACGGAUAUGGGUUUUGAUACUGCUUUAGAGUUAUGUGUCUCUGUAGCACAAAACAAACAAGGUGGUGGUGGUGCGCGUAGGAAGUUGGCCGACCUGGCUCAUAAUCAGGUCAUACAGAAAAAUAGAAUGCAUUUGUUUAGCCCAAAAAAAUUUGCAGACAAUGUGUUUUAGUGCGUGCAUAGCUCACUUUUUAAAUCCUCAAAGUCCCGACUACGGAUUGAUGAAAAUAGCCAGAGAUAUACAUAUUGAUCAGGGUUACGAUCCACAAGAUAAAAUUGCAUUGCAUGGUGUUUCUAAAUUUGAGGCCUUUCUGGGGGUGAAAAUAGUUAUCACAGAUCGGGUUCAGGUAAAUUGGAAGUGUAUAAAAAUACAGACGAGAUACAUCAGAAGACGGUGCAUUUGUAUUUGCAUGAAGAUCAUUAUUAUGGUAUAAAAAAUCUGAAAGGUUUCUUAGGCUACUCGUAUAUUUGUGAGUACUGCUAUCACGGAUUUAAGGAUCGUACUUUACAUUAUUGUAAAUUUACAUGCAAUGUAUGCACAAACAAUAUGUGCUACACGCAUCCUAAGAAAUCGGUGCAAUGUGACGAUUGUUUGAGAUAUUGUAGAUCUGAUUUCUGUUAUGAAAUGCAUAAACAAGCACAAAGUGACAGUUCGAGGUCUCAGCGCGAUCUCAUAAAAUACUGUGAUAAAUGUUACAGACAGUACAGAGCAAAAUGGUCUGGUGAUAAACUAUUAACGCACAAAUGUGCACUAUCGAGAUGUGUGCAUUGCGCUGAAGUUCUGAUGGAUGAAGGUCAGCAUUGUUGCUAUAUUCAGCCUGUCAAGCCUAGCGAACAUAGCCAAGACUAUGUUUAUUUUGACUUCGAAACGAUGUAUGAAAACGGCAGGCAUACGGCAAAUUAUAUUUGUGCAUCAACGCAAGCUGGAGUUGAGUUCAUGGUGGAAGGGGUAGAUUUUUUAAAUUUGAGGGUUUCACAUUUAUCGCCCACAAUUCUUCGGGUUUCGACUCUUUUAUAUUGCUCAAGUAUUUCACUAGUCAGGGACUAACACCAAAAAUUAUACUCCAAGGCUGUAGACUUGUUUACAUGUACGACCAAGUCUUUAAACAGAGAUACAUCGACAGCUAAACCUAAACACCAGCGAAAAAUGAUUCUUUCCACAUCAUUUUAAUUGCUUGCAGAAUGCAAAUUAUAUAGGCCCGUAUCCUUCAAAAGAAUAUUAUGGAUAUCAGACGAUGUCUGACGCUGAGCGCAUGAAAUUUGAUUCGUGGUACGAGAGUGUAGCAGGAGAGGUGUUUGACUUCAAAAAGCAACUAGCCUUGUACUGCAAGAAUGACGUUGUUUUGCUGCGAGAGGCUUGUAUGAAAUGCAGAAAAGAGUUUAUAGAGUGUACAAACGUAGACCCUUUCGGUUGUAUAACGUUAGCCUGAUGUGCUAUGAAAGUGUUCAAAACACUUUUUUUAACCAAAGAUACAAUUGCCCUAACGCACAAAAAUGCUUACAUCAAUCAUCACAAAUCUUACUCAAACCCCUCCAUCCAAUGGUUGGAAUACAUUAAAGCAAGCAGAAAUGUCGAUUUUCAUCACGCAUUAAAUCAUGGCGAAGCCAAAUUUGGACCGUAUCAUGUGGACGGCUAUUAUGAGACUGAUAACGGCGAUAGAAUAGCUUUGGAGUUUUUAGGGUGCUUCUGGCAUGGACAUUAUAAAUACCAUUUGGCGUACUCAGAAGACAAUCUGACAAUAAGAUGAAGGUUUUGCGUAAUACCUAUAAUCUCAAAGUGCACAAAAUUUGGGAAUGUCAGUGGGCAGAAGCUAAGCAAAGCAAUCCUGAUGUCAUUGCUUUUAUGAGUAAUUAUAAUGCGCCAGCGAGACUGAACCCCAGAGAAUCGCUUUUUGGGGGGAGAACGAAUGCCCUCCGCUUGUACCACGAGACCGCCGUGGGUGAAAGCGUGUCAUAUCUGGAUUUCACAUCUCUCUAUCCUUAUGUACAGUCAUGUAAAACUUACCCUAUCGGACAUCCCGAGAUAAUUUUAAAAGAUUUUGACCCGGUCGAAUCGUAUUUCGGUCUUAUUAAAUGCAGCGUACUCCCCCCACGUAAACUACUACAUCCGGUAUCGCCUGUCAAAUCUUCUCAGGGGAAAUUAUUAUUUGUGCUGUGUCGUACCUGUGCUGAGGCACAGUAUCAGGGUCAGUGUCAGCACGGUGACGAAGAAAGAGUCAUUUCAGGAGUUUGGACCUCUGUCGAGCUCUCCAGAGCUAUUGAUAAAGGUUAUUCGGUAGUCAGAAUUGUGGAAGUCUGGCAUUUUCCACAGACAUCAGACACUUUAUUCAGCGGUUAUGUUAAGACGUUUCUCAAAUUCAAACAGGAGGCUUCAGGUUUCCCGACGCACGUAGUGACAGACACUGACAAGGAGUCUUACGUCAGAGGUUAUUUCGAGAAGGAGGGAGUUCAGCUUGACAUUGAAAAAAU